rnacentral:rRNA from 1 species
ACGCAAUAGAUACCCAGGUAGUCCACGCCGUAAACGAUGAUGACUAGCUGUCGGGGCGCUUGGCGUUUCGGUGGCGCAGCUAACGCGUUAAGUCAUCCGCCUGGGGAGUACGGCCGCAAGGUUAAAACUCAAAGAAAUUGACGGGGGCCUGCACAAGCGGUGGAGCAAGUGGUUUAAUUCGAAGCAACGCGCAGAACCUUACCAGCGUUUGACAUGGUAGGACGGUUUCUGGAGACAGAUUCCUUCCCUUACGGGACCUACACACAGGUGCUGCAUGGCUGUCGUCAGCUCGUGUCGUGAGAUGUUGGGUUAAGUCCCGCAACGAGCGCAACCCUCGUCUUUAGUUGCUACCAUUUAGUUGGGCACUCUAAAGAAACUGCCGGUGAUAAGCCGGAGGAAGGUGGGGAUGACGUCAAGUCCUCAUGGCCCUUACGCGCUGGGCUACACACGUGCUACAAUGGCGGUGACAGUGGGCAGCAAACUCGCGAGAGUGAGCAAAUCCCCAAAAACCGUCUCAGUUCGGAUUGUUCUCUGCAAC